rnacentral:rRNA from 1 species
ACAUGCCUACAACAUAGAAUUAAUGCACUGAAUCCCAUUAGAACUCCACAGUUAAGCGCACUCAGGAUAUACUAGUACUGUGAUGGGUGACCUCCUGGGAAGUCCUAGUGUUUUACAUGCC